rnacentral:rRNA from 1 species
UGUGCCAGCCGCCGCGGUAAUACGGAGGGUGCAAGCGUUAAUCGGAAUUACUGGGCGUAAAGCGCACGCAGGCGGUUUGUUAAGUCAGAUGUGAAAUCCCCGGGCUCAACCUGGGAACUGCAUCUGAUACUGGCAAGCUUGAGUCUCGUAGAGGGGGGUAGAAUUCCAGGUGUAGCGGUGAAAUGCGUAGAGAUCUGGAGGAAUACCGGUGGCGAAGGCGGCCCCCUGGACGAAGACUGACGCUCAGGUGCGAAAGCGUGGGGAGCAAACAGGAUUAGAUA